rnacentral:other from 1 species
AAUACCCUGCCUUGUUCGUAUAAAGGGCCAAUACCUCUGACCCAACAUUGACCGACAGGGCGUUCGGAGUUCGGACGGUGCCUUAAAGUCUCCUCCUCGUGGGGAGAAUCAAGAACCCGCCCGACAGAGCGCCCACCUCGUAACACGAGGAUCAGAGUAGAGUGCCCUACUAACGACUUGUGGCGGGGUAUUU